rnacentral:rRNA from 1 species
AUUGAACGCUGGCGGCAGGCCUAACACAUGCAAGUCGAACGAGCGGCGGACGGGUGAGUAAUGUCUGGGAAACUGCCUGAUGGAGGGGGAUAACUACUGGAAACGGUAGCUAAUACCGCAUACCAUCAGAUGUGCCCAGAUGGUAUUAGCUAGUGGGUGGGGUAAUGGCUCACCAAGGCGACGAUCCCUAGCUGGUCUGAGAGAAUGACCAGCCACACUGGAACUGAGACACGGUCCAGACGCCUACGGUAGGCAGCAGUGGGGAAUAUUGCACAAUGGGCGCAAGCCUGAUGCAGCCAGGCCGCGUGUAUGAAGAAGGCCUUCGGGUUGUAAAGUACUUUCAGCGGGGAGGCGUUACUCGCAGAAGAAGCACCGGCUAACUCCGUGCCAGCAGCCGCGGUAAUUC